rnacentral:rRNA from 1 species
CAGCAGCCGCGGGAAAACGGAGGGUGCAAGCGUUAAUCGGAAUUACUGGGCGUAAAGCGCACGCAGGCGGUUUGUUAUGUCAGAUGUGAAAUCCCCGAGCUUAACUUGGGGACUGCAUUUGAAACUGGCAAGCUAGAGUCUUGUAGAGGGGGGUAGAAUUCCAGGUGUGGCGGUGAAAUGCGUAGAGAUCUGGAGGAAUACCGGUGGCGAAGGCGGCCCCCUGGACAAAGACUGACGCUCAGGUGCGAAAGCGUGGGGAGCAAACAGGAUUAGAUACCCGAGUAGUCCCUGUCUCUUAUAC